CAAGGACCUACAAACCAAAAGAAAAAUUCAGGUUACUUUAGUCUUUUCAGGACUCAUUAGAAACUUUAAAAAGUCUACUUUUUAGAAUGAUAACUCCACCGUGUAAAAGGCAUGUGAAAGGCGGCCGGACGCCUCCCGGGUUUCAACUGCAGCUGCGACAGGCUCAGUGAGGCCGUCGCUGCAGCCUGGCCGACGCCGGGUACUCACGGGGAGGAAGCCGCGCUAGCCCGCCUUCGUGUCCACCAGCUGCACGUUGGCGGCCAUGCCCCCGCCGUAGCCACCCUUGGACUGCAUCUGGUUCUGAAUGGAGCUAACCUGGAAGCGGAAACAAAGGCAGCGUGGUGAGGCACAAGGUCGGAGGCGGCCCGAGUGACUGUGUCGGCUCGUGCUCUCAGUAUUUCUCACUUAAUUCCAAUUUGUUGCUCAAUUUCAAUACCCUAAAGACGCCUCAUAGACUAUAGCGCAAUGACCUGGAAUAAAUCAGAAGCAAUACAAAUCAGAGCAACCUUAACCUUAAAUAGCCCCAUAAAGCAAAAAAAGUCCACAUCCCCAAGAGCUCAUGGUCCAGGUUAAUUUAUCACUAUUGGAACUCAGUGAACUGUCUGGCCUACAAGACGGCUAUGGCACCUCAGGGCCAGGCUCUGACCAAAGGUGGGUGACAGACGAGCACACAGAAUGCCACCUGCAAUCUCCAAAGUGCUUGCGCUGUACCCUGGUCCCUGUGGCACAGUGCCAUGCCAGCUCCCAGGCCCCAGAAAGCAUGAUGCGUGAGCCGCCUAUGCAUGGGGAUCCUAACUUUUUUUUUCUUU